rnacentral:RNase_P_RNA from 2 species
GCAGUCCAGACGGUCGCCGGCUGCGCAGGGAUGCGCAGCGGGAGGAAAGUCCGGGCUUCACAGGGCAAGGAUGCCGGCUAACGGCCGGUGGGAGCGAUCCUAAGGAAAGUGCAACAGAAAAGAACCGCCUGCCUUAUGGCAGGUAAGGGUGAAAAGGCCGGGUAAGAGCCGACCGGGUCCAUGGUAACAUGUGCCGUCAGUGUAAACCCCAUCCGAAGCAAGGCCAGUCAGGGAGGUGUUUCCGAAAGGAUAAUGCCUGAAAGGGGGCUGCCCGUCCCUUCCCGAGAAGGUAGGCCGCUUGAGACCUAUGGCAACAUAGGCCCUAGAAAGAUGACCGUCCACGACAGAACCCGGCUUAUGGGCUGC